GAUGAACGCUGGCGGCGUGCCUAAUACAUGCAAGUCGAGCGAACAGAUAAGGCGCUUGCUCCUUUGACGUUAGCGGCGGACGGGUGAGUAACACGUGGGUAACCUACCUAUAAGACUGGGAUAACUUCGGGAAACCGGAGCUAAUACCGUAUAACAUUUGGAACCGCAUGGUUCUAUAGUGAAAGAUGGUUUUGCUAUCACUUAUAGAUGGACCCGCGCCGUAUUAUCUAGUUGGUAAGUUAACGGCUUACCAAGGGAACGAUACGUAGCCGACCUGCGAGGGGGUUCGCCAACACUGGAACUGGGCAAGGGCCAGGACUCCUACGGGAGGCACCAGAAGGGAACCUUCGGCAAUGGGCGAAAGCCUGACGGAGCACGCCCGCGUGAGUGAUGAAGUGUUCCGGUUCGUAAGACCCUGUUAUUGGGGAAGAACAAAGGUGGAAGGAAAUGUGCACGUCGUGACGGUACCUAAUCAGAAAGCCACGGCUAACUACGUG
rnacentral:rRNA from 1 species